rnacentral:rRNA from 1 species
AGUUUGAUCAUGGCUCAGAGCGAACGCUGGCGGCAGGCCUAACACAUGCAAGUCGAACGGAACUUCGGGGUUAGUGGCGGACGGGUGAGUAACACGUGGGAACGUGCCUUUAGGUUCGGAAUAGCUCCUGGAAACGGGUGGUAAUGCCGAAUGUGCUUCGGGGGAAAGAUUUAUCGCCUUUAGAGCGGCCCGCGUCUGAUUAGCUAGUUGGUGAGGUAACGGCUCACCAAGGCGACGAUCAGUAGCUGGUCUGAGAGGAUGACCAGCCACACUGGGACUGAGACACGGCCCAGACUCUACGGGAGGCAGCAGUGGGGAAUCUUGCGCAAUGGGCGAAAGCCUGACGCAGCCAUGCCGCGUGAAUGAUGAAGGUCUUAGGAUUGUAAAAUUCUUUCACCGGGGACGAUAAUGACGGUACCCGGAGAAGAAGCCCCGGCUAACUUCGUGCCAGCAGCCGCGGUAAUACGAAGGGGGCUAGCGUUGCUCGGAAUUACUGGGCGUAAAGGGCGCGUAGGCGGAUCGUUAAGUCAGAGGUGAAAUCCCAGGGCUCAACCCUGGAACUGCCUUUGAUACUGGCGAUCUUGAGUAUGAGAGAGGUAUGUGGAACUCCGAGUGUAGAGGUGAAAUUCGUAGAUAUUCGGAAGAACACCAGUGGCGAAGGCGACAUACUGG